CUCUCUAUUCCAAUAUCUGCUAAUAAGAAGAAGAUCCCUUCUUUAUGACUAUCUGUUUUCUACAGAGAAAUAUUACGAUAUAGCAAUUACAAUUAGGUCUUGCGGCUUUCAAUAGAAUCUUAAGCUUUAAAUGUGCCUUCGAUAUACGAUAAUCCUGAGUUGUGAGUAAUGAAUAAUGCAUCGCAAUUUAUCGUAAUUUCAGUUAAUUCUAUAUUCAGUCUAUUUUAUAGUUUGUGUGUUAGAGAUUUACAGUUUUUGGUAAGUACACACUUACCAUCAAUUAUCUAACAUGACAAAGCGACGGAAGCCAAGCAAAUACAAGCUAUUUGAAUUCUGAUAAUGACCUGUAUACAGGUCACCAACUAGUUGACGACGACCAAAUUUCUUUCUUCUCAA